rnacentral:rRNA from 1 species
CAGCAGGCGCGAAAACUUUACAAUGCGGGAAACCGUGAUAAGGGGACACCGAGUGCCAGCAUCAUAUGCUGGCUGUCCGGGUGUGUAAAAUACACCCGUUAGCAAGGGCCGGGCAAGACCGGUGCCAGCCGCCGCGGUAACACCGGCGGCCCGAGUGGUGAUCGUGAUUAUUGGGUCUAAAGGGUCCGUAGCCGGUUUGGUCAGUCCUCCGGGAAAUCUGAUAGCUCAACUAUUAGGCUUUCGGGGGAUACUGCCAGGCUUGGAACCGGGAGAGGUAAGAGGUACUACAGGGGUAGGAGUGAAAUCUUGUAAUCCCUGUGGGACCACCUGUGGCGAAGGCGUCUUACCAGAACGGGUUCGACGGUGAGGGACGAAAGCUGGGGGCACGAACCGGAUUAGAUAUCCGGGUAGUCCCAGCCGUAAACGAUGCUCGCUAGGUGUCAGGCAUGGCGCGACCGUGUCUGGUGCCGCAGGGAAGCCGUGAAGCGAGCCACCUGGGAAGUACGGCCGCAAGGCUGAAACUUAAAGGAAUUGGCGGGGGAGCAC